UUUCGGUUGAUCCCGCCGGACCUGACUGCUAUCGGAUUGAUACUAAGCCAUGCGAGUCUUUGCAGUAAUGCAAGGCAGACGGCUCAGUAACACGUAGUCAACUUACCCUAUGGACGAGGAUAAUCUCGGGAAACUGAGCAUAAUACUCGAUAGAUCAUAAUGCCUGGAAUGGUUUAUGAUUAAAAUGAUUCGUCGCCAUAGGAUGGGACUGCGGCCUAUCAGCUUGUUGGUGAGGUAAUGGCCCACCAAGGCGAUUACAGGUACGGGCUCUGAGAGGAGAAGCCCGGAGAUGGGUACUGAGACAAGGACCCAGGCCCUAUGGGGCGCAGCAGGCGAGAAAACUUUGCAAUGUGCGAAAGCACGACAAGGUUAAUCCGAGUGAUUUCUGCUAAAGAAAUCUUUUGCAGGUCAUAAAACCACUAGUGAAUAAGGGGUGGGCAAGUUCUGGUGUCAGCCGCCGCGGUAAAACCAGCACCUCAAGUGGUCAGGAGGAUUAUUGGGCCUAAAGCAUCCGUAGCCGGCUCUGUAAGUUUUCGGUUAAAUCCAUGUGCUCAACGCAUGGGCUGCCGAAAAUACUGCAUAGCUAGGGAGUGGGAGAGGUAGACGGUACUCAGUAGGAAGGGGUAAAAUCCUUUGAUCUAUUGAUGACCACCUGUGGCGAAGGCGGUCUACCAGAACACGUUCGACGGUGAGGGAUGAAAGCUGGGGGAGCAAACCGGAUUAGAUACCCGGGUAGUCCCAGCUGUAAACGAUGCAGACUCGAUGAUGCAUUGGCAUAUAGCCAGUGCAGUGUCGCAGGGAAGCCGUUAAGUCUGCCGCCUGGGAAGUACGUACGCAAGUAUGAAACUUAAAGGAAUUGGCGGGGGAGCACCACAAGGGGUGAAGCCUGCGGUUCAAUUGGAGUCAACGCCGGGA
rnacentral:rRNA from 1 species